rnacentral:rRNA from 1 species
AGCACGUAGGUGGGUUUGUAAGUCAGACGUGAAAGCCUUCUGUUCAACGGAAGAGUUGCAUCUGAAACUACAAACCUUGAGUGUAGGAGGGGAGAAUGGAACUUCUGGUGGAGCGGUGAAAUGCGUAGAUAUCAGAAGGAACGCCGGCGGCGAAAGCGAUUCUCUGGCCUAUUACUGACACUCAGUGUGCGAAAGCUAGGGGAGCAAACGGGAUUAGAUACCCCGGUAGUCCUAGCCGUAAACGAUGGGCACUAAGUAGAGGGG